rnacentral:lncRNA from 1 species
AGACUUAGAAAAAAGAAAAUAUAUAGAGAUGUUAGAAGAUGGCUGAGGACAAACCUGGAAACAAAGCGGACGAUCCUCCUAAGAAGAGCAAAAGAAAACAGAGGUGUUGAAGGUAAGCGGUGAGGAAAUCGUUGAUGACAACAUGGAAGGGGAAGGAAAAACAAACACGUAGAAACCAAUUUAAGAAAUCAAGUCAUGUGUAAUCCACUAUCACCUGCAAUAAAAAAAAUUCAGUAAAGAAACACAAAUGAAUAGAAACCAAUUUAAGAAAUCAAGCCAUGUGUAAUCUACUAUCACCUGCAAUAAAAAAAAAUUCAGUAAAGAAACACAAAUGAAUAGAAACCAAUUUAAGAAAUCAAGCCAUGUGUAAUCCACUAUCACCUGCAAUAAAAAAAAAAUUCAGUAACGAAACACAAAUGAAUAGAAACCAAUUUAAGAAAUCAAGCCAUGUGUAAUCCACUAUCACCUGCAAUAAAAAAAAAUCAGUAAAGAAACACAAAUGAAUAGAAACCAAUUUAAGAAAUCAAGCCAUAUGUAAUCCACUAUCACAUGCAAUAAAAAAAAUUCAGUAAAGAAACACAAAUGAAUAGAAACCAAUUUAAGAAAUCAAGCCAUAUGUAAUCCACUAUCACAUGCAAUAAAAAAAAUUCAGUAAAGAAACACAAAUGAAGAAAAUAUAUAUCUCAGCCAAUGAAAUCCAAGAACUGUUCAAGUGGCAGUUAUAAAUUAGUAAGUAUAU